rnacentral:rRNA from 1 species
UACGGAGGGUGCGAGCGUUGUCCGGAAUCAUUGGGCGUAAAGAGCGUGUAGGCGGCUCGGUAAGUCCGCUCUGAAAGCCCGGGGCUCAACCCCGGGAGGCGGGCGGAUACUGUCGGGCUAGAGUCCGGAAGAGGCGAGUGGAAUUCCUGGUGUAGCGGUGAAAUGCGCAGAUAUCAGGAGGAACACCAAUGGCGAAGGCAGCUCGCUGGGACGGUACUGACGCUGAGACGCGAAAGCGUGGGGAGCAAACAGG